rnacentral:rRNA from 1 species
CAGCCGCCGCGGGAAUACGUAGGUGGCAAGCGUUGUCCGGAAUUAUUGGGCGUAAAGGGCUCGCAGGCGGUUUCUUAAGUCUGAUGUGAAAGCCCCCGGCUCAACCGGGGAGGGUCAUUGGAAACUGGGAAACUUGAGUGCAGAAGAGGAGAGUGGAAUUCCUCGUGUAGCGGUGAAAUGCGUAGAGAUGUGGAGGAACGCCAGUGGCGAAGGCGACUCUCUGGUCUGUAACUGACGCUGAGGAGCGAAAGCGUGGGGAGCGAACAGGAUUAGAUACCCCAGUAGUCCCUGUCUCUUAUAC